GAUGAACGCUGGCGGCGUGCCUAAUACAUGCAAGUCGAGCGAACGGACGAGAAGCUUGCUUCUCUGAUGUUAGCGGCGGACGGGUGAGUAACACGUGGAUAACCUACCUAUAAGACUGGGAUAACUUCGGGAAACCGGAUCUAAUACCGGAUAAUAUUUUGAACCGCAUGGUUCAAAAGUGAAAGACGGUCUUGCUGUCACUUAUAGAUGGAUCCGCGCUGCAUUAGCUAGUUGGUAAGGUAACGGCUUACCAAGGCAACGAUGCAUAGCCGACCUGAGAGGGUGGUCGGGCACACUGGAACUGAGACACGGUCCAGACUCCUACGGGAGGCAGCAGUUGGGAAUCUUCCGCAAUGGGCGGAAGCCUGACGGAGCAACGCCGCGUGGGUGAUGAAGGUCUUCGGAUCGUAAAACUCUGUUAUGAGGGAAGAACAUAUGUGUAAGUAACUGUGCACAUCUAGACGGUAACUAAUAAGAAAGCCACGGCUAACUACGUG
rnacentral:rRNA from 1 species